AAGCCAUGGGCGGGUGCUAUACUGCAGUCGAGCGAUCUAGAGGGAGCUUGCUCCCUUAGAUUAGCGGCGGACGGGUGAGUAACACGUGGGUAACCUGCCUGUAAGACUGGGAUAACUUCGGGAAACCGGAGCUAAUACCGGAUAACAUAUGAGACCACAUGGUCUUAUAUUAAAAGAUGGCUUUUAGCUAUCACUUACAGAUGGACCCGCGGCGCAUUAGCUAGUUGGUGAGGUAACGGCUCACCAAGGCGACGAUGCGUAGCCGACCUGAGAGGGUGAUCGGCCACACUGGGACUGAGACACGGCCCAGACUCCUACGGGAGGCAGCAGUAGGGAAUCUUCCGCAAUGGACGAAAGUCUGACGGAGCAACGCCGCGUGAGCGAAGAAGGUCUUCGGAUCGUAAAGCUCUGUUGUUAGGGAAGAACAAGUAUCGUUCGAAUAGGGCGGUACCUUGACGGUACCUAACCAGAAAGCCACGGCUAACUACGUGCCAGCAGCCGCGGUAAUACGUAGGUGGCAAGCGUUAUCCGGAAUUAUUGGGCGUAAAGCGCGCGCAGGCGGUCCUUUAAGUCUGAUGUGAAAGCCCACGGCUCAACCGUGGAGGGUCAUUGGAAACUGGGGGACUUGAGUGCAGAAGAGGAGAGCGGAAUUCCACGUGUAGCGGUGAAAUGCGUAGAGAUGUGGAGGAACACCAGUGGCGAAGGCGGCUCUCUGGUCUGUAACUGACGCUGAGGCGCGAAAGCGUGGGGAGCGAACAGGAUUAGAUACCCUGGUAGUCCACGCCGUAAACGAUGAGUGCUAAGUGUUAGAGGGUUUCCGCCCUUUAGUGCUGCAGCAAACGCAUUAAGCACUCCGCCUGGGGAGUACGGUCGCAAGACUGAAACUCAAAGGAAUUGACGGGGGCCCGCACAAGCGGUGGAGCAUGUGGUUUAAUUCGAAGCAACGCGAAGAACCUUACCAGGUCUUGACAUCCUCUGACACUCCUAGAAGAUAGAUUUCCCCUUUCGGGGGACAGAGUGAACAGGUGGGUGCAUGGUGUCGUCAGCUCGUGUCGUGAGAUGUUGGGGUAGUCCCGCACGAGCGCACCCUUGAUCUUAGUGCAGCAUUCAGUGGCACCUCUAGGUGACUGCGUUGACACGGAGGAGGUGGGGAUGACGUCAUCAUCAUGCCCUUAUGACUGUCUACACGGCUCAAUGAUGGUACAAGGGCACGCAACCCCGCCGAGGGUUUAGA
rnacentral:rRNA from 1 species